GACGAACGCUGGCGGCGUGCUUAACACAUGCAAGUCGAACGGAAAGGCCCUGCUUUUGUGGGGUGCUCGAGUGGCGAACGGGUGAGUAACACGUGAGUAACCUGCCCUUGACUUUGGGAUAACUUCAGGAAACUGGGGCUAAUACCGGUUAGGAGCUCCUGCUGCAUGGUGGGGGUUGGAAAGUUUCGGCGGUUGGGGAUGGACUCGCGGCUUAUCAGCUUGUUGGUGGGGUAGUGGCUUACCAAGGCUUUGACGGGUAGCCGGCCUGAGAGGGUGACCGGCCACAUUGGGACUGAGAUACGGCCCAGACUCCUACGGGAGGCAGCAGUGGGGAAUAUUGCACAAUGGGCGGAAGCCUGAUGCAGCAACGCCGCGUGCGGGAUGACGGCCUUCGGGUUGUAAACCGCUUCCGCCUGUGACGAAGCGUGAGUGACGGUAAUGGGUAAAGAAGCACCGGCUAACUACGUG
rnacentral:rRNA from 1 species